CCAAGAUGCGGCCUGCCAUUUUGAGAUUUAAGAGUAGACAAAAUUCUUCCCGGGAGCUAAGUAGCACAUCUGCAGGACAGCAAGAGCCAGGGAUGCACAUUGAUAGAAGAGGACGGCAACCACACCACACACCCCAAAGCAGGAAGCUGGAACAUAAGCCUCAGCCAACAACUCAGCUUGUGCACUGACCAUUAUUCAAAUAUAAUGUGAAAAGCUGCAAAUGUAUCAA
rnacentral:lncRNA from 1 species